AUGUUGUAUGAAAGGAGAAAAGGUGAGAACUUCCUUUGACAAAGUUGGAAGAGGCUCUCGGCUUUAUAAACUUCUGCUAGUUUGGGUUCUAUCCUGUGGGAACACUUAGUGUGGUUGAGGAGAGAGAUAGGCCAUUCAGCUACUUUUGUCU
rnacentral:ncRNA from 1 species